rnacentral:rRNA from 1 species
UACGUAGGGUGCGAGCGUUUAAUCGGAAUUACUGGGCGUAAAGCGUGCGCAGGCGGUUCGUUGUGUCGGCGGUGAAAGCCCCGGGCUUAACCUGGGAAUGGCCGUUGAAACUGGCGAACUGGAGUGUGGCAGAGGGGGGUGGAAUUCCGCGUGUAGCAGUGAAAUGCGUAGAUAUCGGGAGGAACAUCAGUGGCGAAGGCGGCCCUCUGGUCCAGUACUGACACUCAAGUGCGAAAGCGUGGGGAGCAAACAGGG